AACGAACGCUGGCGGCAUGCCUAACACAUGCAAGUCGAACGAGACCUUCGGGUCUAGUGGCGCACGGGUGCGUAACGCGUGGGAACCUGCCCUUAGGUUCGGAAUAACUCCCCGAAAGGGGGGCUAAUACCGGAUAAUGUCUUCGGACCAAAGAUUUAUCGCCUUUGGAUGGGCCCGCGUUGGAUUAGCUAGUUGGUAGGGUAAAAGCCUACCAAGGCGACGAUCCAUAGCUGGUCUGAGAGGAUGAUCAGCCACACUGGGACUGAGACACGGCCCAGACUCCUACGGGAGGCAGGAGUGGGGAAUAUUGGACAAUGGGCGAAAGCCUGAUCCAGCAAGGCCGCGUGAGUGAUGAAGGCCUUAGGGUUGUAAAGCUCUUUUACCCGGGAUGAUAAUGACGGUACCGGGAGAAUAAGCUCCGGCUAACUCCGUG
rnacentral:rRNA from 1 species